GCUAUUUCAAAUUGGGCUUAAAGCGAGGCCCAUAAUGAAGUUUUGCUAUCUCGGGCCUUUGUCUUGCAAACCUAAAUCUCACCUCAGCCGCAAUCAUCCAGACCGUUCGAUUAACUCCUCCCGCUAACAUUUAAAUUUUUUAAUCACCAACUCAAAACCCUAAUAUGCACCUAGGGUUUGGAUUCACACUACCGCACGCAGUACUUAUCCUGAGAUCUUCUUCUUCUUCUUCUUCUUCUUCUUCUUCUUCUUAUGAAUCGAAUGUGCAACGAGUUGAACGAGGUACUGACUCGUGAGUUGGCUGAGGAUGGAUACUCUGGUGUCGAGGUCAGGGCUACUACCGUGAGGGCUACUCGCACGCAGAAUCUCCUUGCAGGAGAGAAAUGGAGGAGAAUCAGGGAUCUUACUUCUCUCGUGCAGAAGAGAUUCAGAUUCCCCGAGAACCGCGUUGAAUUGUACGCCGAGAAGUUAGCAACAGGCUGAGUUCCUCCGGUGAGGUAACGAUCGUUUUCUUCUCGGUUUUUGUUAAUGAGCAUGGUGCUCGUAAUUUUAUUCCAUGAGUUGGAUUUUGAUAGAAGUUCGAAUCCUCAGAUAACUCUUAUUUAUAGAUACAAAAGUAGGGAUGCUAUCGAAAUGCUUUGUUCUAUCUGGCUAUUGAUUUGUGGUCUGCACACGAUUUGUGAGCUAGAAUUGAUUAAAACCACGUCAUCUUAAAAGCAAUUUUGGUGAUUCGAUACCAACUUUUGUGUCGGAUGAUGACUACAAAAAAUCGUUUUCCUGCCAUGCUGUAAUCAUCUUGAACCUUUCAUGUGUUCAUCUUGUAUUCUUGGUGAAGACACAUGUUUAUGCGUUUAUAUUUUAUUUGUAUGAUUUAAGUGCUUACAAUGUCAUCUUUUCAAAGCAAAAUUGGUAUCUCGAUUCCAAUUUCUGCGUCGGAUGUUGACUAGAAAAAAAUUGUCUUCCUCCACUUGAUAAUCAUCAUGACUUUUAACUAAUGCUCAUGUUGUUUCCUUGGAGAAGGCACAUGGUUAAUGACAUUUUUAUAAUUUCUUUAUUAUUCGUUUGAACUGUCACAGACAUGAAUUUGUUGUUUAAAAUGUCUCUUUUAACCUUUAUUAUUCGCCUUUUCGUACAUUGUGCUGGGUUUCUGAUUUAUCGUAUUUUGACAUGUGGCCCGAACAGGUUAUUGUGGAAUUGAGGGCUAAGCAAGUCCAUGAAGUUCAAGGAUGAGUACAUUGAUGCUGUUGUUAGACAUGUUCUUCUCAGGCAGGGGUGUACUUGGUAUCGAAGCUAAGGUAAUGCUUGACUGGGAUCCGAGAGGAAAACAGGGUUUGACAACGCCUCUUCCAGAGGUUGUCAAUAUUCAUCCUCCAAAGGAAGAAGAGAUUUAUAUCAGGCCAUCAACUGCUACAACUGUGCCUGCUGAAAUUGAUGUGCAAGCAUAAAAAUGGGCAUCAAAACCUUGUAAUUUGUUGGAUUGUUUUCCCUAUUUUAUAUAUAUACACUUGAUAUUUCACAACAGGAUUUGAACCAUACAUAUCCGUAUCUAAGUUUUAUAAAGUUCAUGUAACUUCAUAAAUAAAGGCUAUGGAAAUUACAUGAGUUUACACA